ACACAUGCAAGUCGAGCGGUAAGGCCCUUUCGGGGGUACACGAGCGGCGAACGGGUGAGUAUCACGUGGGUGACCUGCCCUCAGCUCUGGGAUAAGCCUGGGAAACCGGGUCUAAUACUGGAUAUGACUCCAUGACGCAUGUUGUGGGGUGGAAAGCCUUGUGCGGCUGAGGAUGGGCCCGCGGCCUAUCAGCUUGUUGGUGGGGUGAUGGCCUACCAAGGCGACGACGGGUAGCCGGCCUGAGAGGGCGACCGGCCACACUGGGACUGAGACACGGCCCAGACUCCUACGGGAGGCAGCAGUGGGGAAUAUUGGACAAUGGGCGCAAGCCUGAUCCAGCGAUGCCGCGUGUGUGAAGAAGGCCUGCGGGUUGUAAAGCACUUUCAGUAGGGAAGAAAAGCCGAGUGCUAAUAUCACUCGGUCUUGACGUUACUUACAGAAGAAGCACCGGCUAACUCCGUGCCAGCAGCCGCGGUAAUACGGAGGGUGCGAGCGUUAAUCGGAAUUACUGGGCGUAAAGGGCGCGUAGGCGGUUUGGUAAGUCGGGUGUGAAAGCCCCGGGCUCAACCUGGGAAUUGCAUUCGAUACUGCCUGGCUAGAGUAUGGUAGAGGGAAGCGGAAUUCCGGGUGUAGCGGUGAAAUGCGUAGAUAUCCGGAGGAACACCAGUGGCGAAGGCGGCUUCCUGGACCAAUACUGACGCUGAGGCGCGAAAGCGUGGGGAUCAAACAGGAUUAGAUACCCUGGUAGUCCACGCCCUAAACGAUGAGAACUAGCCGUUGGAGGAGCUUUGUCCUUUAGUGGCGCAGCUAACGCGAUAAGUUCUCCGCCUGGGGAGUACGGCCGCAAGGUUAAAACUCAAAGGAAUUGACGGGGGCCCGCACAAGCGGUGGAGCAUGUGGUUUAAUUCGAUGCAACGCGAAGAACCUUACCUGCCCAUGACAUCCUCGGAACUUUCCAGAGAUGGAUUGGUGCCUUCGGGAACCGAGAGACAGGUGCUGCAUGGCUGUCGUCAGCUCGUGUUGUGAGAUGUUGGGUUAAGUCCCGUAACGAGCGCAACCCUUGUCCUUAGUUGCCAGCGGGUAAUGCCGGGAACUCUAAGGAGACUGCCGGUGACAAACCGGAGGAAGGUGGGGAUGACGUCAAGUCAUCAUGGCCCUUAUGGGCAGGGCUACACACGUGCUACAAUGGCCGGUACAAAGGGUUGCCAACCCGCGAGGGGGAGCUAAUCCCGAAAAACCGGUCGUAGUCCGGAUCGGAGUCCGCAACUCGACUCCGUGAAGUUGGAAUCGCUAGUAAUCGCGAAUCAGCACGUCGCGGUGAAUACGUUCCCGGGCCUUGUACACACCGCCCGUCACACCAUGGGAGUGGGCUGUACCAGAAGUAGGUAGCCUAACCUUCGGGAGGGCGCUACCACGGUAUG
rnacentral:rRNA from 1 species